GGAUUGACAUCCUACGAACUUUCUUGAAAGAGAUUGGUGCCUUCGGGAACGUAGAGACAGGUGGUGCAUGGCUGUCGUCAGCUCGUGUCGUGAGAUGUUGGGUUAAGUCCCGCAACGAGCGCAACCCUCGUCCUUAGUUGCCAUCAUUAAGUUGGGCACUUUAAGGAGACUGCCGGUGACAAACCGGAGGAAGGUGGGGAUGACGUCAAGUCAUCAUGCCCCUUACAUCCUGGGCUACACACGUACUACAAUGCAACGGACAAAGGGCAGCCAACUAGCGAUAGUGCGCUAAUCCCAUAAACCGUUGCUCAGUUCAGAUUGCAGGCUGCAACUCGCCUGCAUGAAGGCGGAAUCGCUAGUAAUCGCAGGUCAGCAUACUGCGGUGAAUACGUUCCCGG
rnacentral:rRNA from 1 species